rnacentral:lncRNA from 1 species
GGAAACAGUAAGAGUGUAAUGGAAGAUGAGUUGGAAUUUCAAUGUCUGGGAGUUUAGAACGGAAUAUGAAUUGUUGUUGUGGAGGAGAAGAUGGUGACAUUUUGAUAAUGUUAGGAGAAUGUUUUUUUUUGGUUACAUAAUGUUAGGAGAAUGUUAGGAAGAGGGGAAUUAAAUUUAAUUUAAUUUAGGUAAUAAAAUUUGAUUGAAAUGGUGGCACCAAUUAGGUAGUGUACUAUAUAUAAAGAAUAAAUAAGGAUAUGAAAUGUGAAACAGGUGUGGUGUGUGGUGGUUUAAGUAUGGUAGUGGUAACAUCGGUUGUUG